ACGGGUGAGUAAUAUAUCGGAACGUGCCCAAUCGUGGGGGAUAACGUAGAGAAAUUUACGCUAAUACCGCAUACGAUCUAAGGAUGAAAGCGGGGGAUCGCAAGACCUCGCGCGAUUGGAGCGGCUGAUAUCAGAUUAGGUUGUUGGUGAGGUAAAAGCUCACCAAGCCGACGAUCUGUAGCUGGUUUGAGAGAACGACCAGCCACACUGGGACUGAGACACGGCCCAGACUCCUACGGGAGGCAGCAGUGGGGAAUUUUGGACAAUGGGCGAAAGCCUGAUCCAGCAAUGCCGCGUGCAGGAAGAAGGCCUUCGGGUUGUAAACUGCUUUUGUACGGAACGAAACGGCUCUUUCUAAUAAAGAGGGCUAAUGACGGUACCGUAAGAAUAAGCACCGGCUAACUACGUGCCAGCAGCCGCGGUAAUACGUAGGGUGCGAGCGUUAAUCGGAAUUACUGGGCGUAAAGCGUGCGCAGGCGGUUAUAUAAGACAGUUGUGAAAUCCCCGGGCUCAACCUGGGAAUUGCAUCUGUGACUGUAUAGCUAGAGUACGGUAGAGGGGGAUGGAAUUCCGCGUGUAGCAGUGAAA
rnacentral:rRNA from 1 species